rnacentral:lncRNA from 10 species
UUUUAAAAAAAUGUUUUAGAAACGGGGUCUUGCUCUGUUACCCAGCUGGAAUGCAGUGGUGUGAUCAUGGUUUACUGCAGCCUCAAAUUCCUGGGCUCAAGCGAUCCUCCUGCCUCAGCCUCCCAAGUAGCUGGGACCACAGGUGCACGCCCACCCCUGGCUGGUCUUUUCCCUGCCUUCCUGCCUGACAGAGCCACCAGCAGAGCCUGAUCUGCCCAGUCCCCUGCUGGGUCCAGGGUGGCUCGCCAUGUUCAGUGAGAGCCCGUGGACAGAGAUGGAGUCUUGCUAGGUCGCCUUGGCUGGUCUUGAACUCCUGGCCUGAAGCAAUCCUCCUGCCUGGGCCUGCCAAAGUGCUGGGAUUGCAGGUGAGAGCCACUGUACCCGGUCGCCAUGUGAUUACUGAGUUGGAACCUUCACUCCACUCCACCUACCCACUCCCGAACUCCAGGGAUGGGGAGCUGAAGAUAGGGUUAAAUCACAACGGCCAGUGGUUUAACCAAGCAUGCGUAUGUCAUGAGACCUGGAUACUGAACUCAGAACCACAGGGCUCAGGGAGUUUCUUUUCUCUUUUCUUUUCUUUUCUUUUUUUUUUUUUGAGACAGAGUCUCACUCUGUCACCGAGGCUGGAGUGCAGUGGUGGGAUCUCAGCUCACUGCAACCUCUGCCACCCAGGUUCAAGCAAUUCUCGUGCCUCAGCCUCCAGAGUAGCUGAGACUACAGGUGCGCACCACCAUAUCUGGCUAAUUUUUGUAUUUUUUGUAGAGAUGAGGUUUCACCACGUCACCCAGGCUGGCCUUCCAGGUGCACGGGGCUCCUGGAUUCAAGCGAUCCACUCGCCUCAGCCUCCCAAAGCACUGGAGUUACAGGUGUGAGCCACUGCACCCAGCCACUCAGGGAGCUUCUGAGCUGUAUCCUCGUGCCAGUAGGCGAAGCUCCUGGAGAGGGCAUGGGUGCCUGUGUGUCCCACUUCCCUGCCUUAUGUGGGUGUCUCUGGAAGAGAUCAACAGUAGAUCAGUGGACCCAGUGAAGAGGCGCCCCCCGUCCCCAGUGAGAGCAGGUAACAUCCGAUCCACGGAGGGUCCAACUGGAACAGAAGGUGGAGGAAGGCUGACUUCUCUCUCUCUCCUUCUCCUGCCCUUGGUCAUGAGAGCUGCUGGUUCUUGGGCUUCUGGAUCUGGGACUUUCCCCAGUUCCCCCUUGGGCCUUCAUCCUCAGACUAGGAUUUCCACCAUCACCUCCCCUGGCUCUCAGGCCUUUGUGCGCAGGGGAGUUUCAUCAGCAGCGUUCUGGGAUCUCCGGGUUGCGGACGGACUGCAUGAAGCGAUUCCUCAUAAUACGUCUCCCCACAUCCCUCUCUCUGCGUCCUCUUGCGUCUGUUUUUCUGGAGACCUCUGACUCAUGCAGUUGGUGUUUUGAAAAAACAAACAAUUGCCUUUCAUGGACCCAACCCUGGACGUCCCAUGACAUCACCGUCAUUGUCCCCUGCUGGCCAAGGCUGUCGUAAGUCGGCCCAGGUUCACGGGGUGAGGGCCCUACUCGGCCUCUUGCUGGAAGAGUGGUGAGGUCACCGUAAUGAGAACGUGAGGACAGGAGAGAUUGCUACAGCCCUCUCUGGAAAAUGCCAUGUGUGACAUCAUGAAAGGUGACGUGGCUGUUGCCCAGGCUGUGGACCGCAAAUGUCCGGGAAUGAGGCAUGUCUCCCGGGUGGUGGACUCCUGGGCGGUUUCAGUCUGGGGCGAUUAUGAACAAGGCUAGGACAAGCCUGAUUUCACCUGCACGCACGUCUAUGGGCCACGGUCCUGGCUCUCUGGUCCUCCUGGGAGACCACAAUGCUGUUGUAUUAGUUUGUUCUCAUGCUGCUGAAAAAGACAUACCCUGGUUGGGCACAGUGGCUCACGCCUG